AGGAAUGCCCGCAGCCCGGGAUUCCUCCUAAGCCGCGUCCCAUCUGUAUGGGACCCCACUGAAAAUCGGACUGUUCAACUCACCUGGCAGCCACUCCCAGAGCCCCUGGAACUCUGGCCCGAGGCUCUCUGACUGACUCCUUCCCUGAUCUUCUCCACUUAGCAGCUGAAGACUGACGCUGCCCUAUCACCUCGGAAGCCCCGUAGACCAUCAGGGACACCGAGCUUUAGGUAACUCUCACAGUAGAGGGAUGGUAGAGAGCGGUCUACAGCCUGAGACCCAUCACCAGCUAUUGCAACAGAGGCUACUCUUUGGUUUUCAAGAAAGAGUGUGG
rnacentral:lncRNA from 1 species